rnacentral:rRNA from 1 species
GACCUGAACUCAGACGUGACUACCCGCUGAACUUAAGCAUAU